ACCACAGCACACAUCUCCGUCGAGGUUUUCUGUGAGAUUAGACUCUUCAGAAAGAUGCACAAAUUGAUUGUAUUGGCUGUUCUAACUUUCACAUUCACCAUACUGGUGAAUGAAGCCGCGAAGGGAAAGGAUGAUGAGUGUGACCGCCGAAACCACACUUGUUUUUACCCCGACAUGUGCUAUAGCUGUCCACCGAAUAUCACAACCAAUUACGUAAGAGCAAGUGUAAUUUACUACGACAAUCAGACUCAUCAGUGCGUAGAAGCACAAGGAGAAAGCCACAGUUGCAACAGCUUCAAUAAUUUCGAUGACUGCGAACAUCUCUGUGGAGUGGAAUACAGCGAUUCAGAAGAAUGAAUUAAUAUUAAGCGGAUUUCUUGGCAUUCCGACUACGUCUCUA
rnacentral:lncRNA from 1 species